rnacentral:rRNA from 1 species
UACGUAGGGUGCGAGCGUUAAUCGGAAUUACUGGGCGUAAAGCGUGCGCAGGCGGUUUUGUAAGCCAGAUGUGAAAUCCCCGGGCUCAACCUGGGAAUGGCAUUUGGGACUGCAAGGCUGGAGUUUGGCAGAGGAGACUGGAAUUCCCGGUGUAGCAGUGAAAUGCGUAGAUAUGCGGAGGAACACCGAUGGCGAAGGCAAUCCCCUGGGCCUGCACUGACGCUCAUGCACGAAAGCGUGGGGAGCAAACGGG